AUGGGGAAGAUAACACGGAGGAUAAAGGCCGUACAGGGGUGGACUAUCUUUGAGAUCCUGCGGUACAUGCCGGAGCAUAACUGGUCGGCGUACGAGGAGGCCCUCAAUGCGAAUUUGGAUCUUGCCAAGAUGAUAAUCAGUGGCGUCGUCUACUCCCUCGGCGCCUGGAUAGCACAGCUAAUUCGGUUGUUCUUGUUUUGUGUUGCUCCUGCUUAUUUACAAUGUUAUGAAGGGAAUCACAUCUUCGAGUUUGACCGUACCCGUAUGUUCUGGUCUGGCCUCGUAGGGUUCACCCUCCAUGGAUCCCUUUUGCACUAUUACUACCAUUUCUACGAGUCGUUGUUCCCGUUCAAGGAUUGGUGGGUUGUGCCUAUCAAGGUUCCGGCUUUGUCUGCGUUGUGGAACAACAUCUACUUUGUCGCCCUGGGCUUCCACUACAAAAAAUAUGUCAACUUAUGUACGGGUUGGUGGAGUUGGCCUUGCUGCUCUCUGGAUGGACGGGGCCGGAUGUCCUUGCGGAGGGGCCGGAUGUCUGGGGCUUCGGGAGGCGUCGGAUAUAUCACUAAGGAGAGAAGUCACAUCGGUCUCGAGAGCUCUCGCUCGUGCUCUUGUCAUGGGUCCUCUUGGUGCUUGGAUUAG
rnacentral:rRNA from 1 species